ACAGCAGCCGCCGCGGUAAUACAGAGGAUGCAAGCGUUAUCCGGAAUGAUUGGGCGUAAAGCGUGCGCAGGCGGUUAUAUAAGUCAGAUGUGAAAUCCCCGGGCUCAACCUGGGAACUGCAUUUGAGACUGUAUGGCUAGAGUGUGUCAGAGGGGGGUAGAAUUCCACGUGUAGCAGUGAAAUGCGUAGAUAUGUGGAGGAAUACCGAUGGCGAAGGCAGCCCCCUGGGAUAACACUGACGCUCAUGCACGAGAGCGUGGGGAGCAAACAGGAUUAGAUACCCCCGUAGUCCCUGUCUCUUAUAC
rnacentral:rRNA from 1 species